AACCCAUCUUGGUUCUUGCUUAUGAGGUUUGGUGAUCAAAUCCCGGUGAUGUCCAAAGAGAUAUUUUAUUUUGGUUGUCUGAUCAAAGAAAUUGCCAUUUUUGCCCUGAAAAUAAUAAUAGUAAAUAUAAUCAUAAUAAUAAAGAGACAAUAGGAAUGAGGGGGCACGCAUUAGAUUGUUUUCCUUUUACUCUAAUCGUCUUCAGCUUCGAAGGUUCCAGAGUAAGGAGAGCAUGUGAGAGAGAGAAAGAGAGCUUCGGACCAUAGCCUCCAUCUUCGUCGCCAUUGCCGGUGCUGGGAUUGUUGCUGUGACUCAUCUUCACGUGUUAUCUUCAACCUUCUUCCUUUUUCGAAGCAGAGUACUAGUGCCAAUUUUAGGUUCUCCUGGCUAUGCGGUCGUGGGUGUUCAAAUCUUCUUUUCCUUUCCCUCCAUCUUUAUCCGUCUACCGCUGCAAGAAGUUCCGACAAUGUCACAAUCCGUGCGUGUUAGUCGGUGGAGAGAGAGCUUGAGGAUUUUCCAAAAUCUUUGAACCCUCGUCCGGACUUCUGUCCUCCGCCAUCAGUUCUGUAUUCUACUGGUUGCCGGUGACUCCAUAAACGCCGGAGUCUUCACCGUGGGAAAGGAUAAACGGGUUGUCUGUAGCUUGUGGUUAUGAGCUCGCCGGCGUGCUUGUCAUUGCUGUUGUCUCAUCCACCCUUGAUCAACAAAAACGUGAUGUCUUCCUCCUCCUCUGUUCCAAAUCAAUUUUUUUCCUUUUCUUCAUCAUUGGCGUGGCUAUGUAGGUGAAUAGGAGAACUUAUUUCUUUUGUUCUGCUUGCUCAAUCAAUUACUAGUUUGCUCAUCUCUUUUUUAUGCCAACAGCGAUCUUCCUCUCUUUCACUGUGUAGACGAACAUUCUCUUCCCCCUCUUGGUUUGUGUGUUGUUAGUUUAUCAAAGGUGAGAAUCUUUGAUCUCUUCUCCUUAGAAAAUUCUGUGCGUGUGAGAUG